UUGACCUCGAAUCAGGUAGGGAUACCCGCUGAACUUAAGCAUAUCAAUAAGCGGAGGAAAAGAAACCAACCGGGAUUACCCUAGUAACGGCGAGUGAAGCGGUAACAGCUCAAAUUUGAAAUCUGGCUCCCUGCGGAGUCCGAGUUGUAAUUUGUAGAAGAUGCUUUGGGUGCUCGGCCCGGUCUAAGUUCCUUGGAACAGGACGUCGUAGAGGGUGAGAAUCCCGUAUGCGGCCGGGGUGGGUGCUCGUGUAAAGCUCUUUCGACGAGUCGAGUUGUUUGGGAAUGCAGCUCAAAAUGGGUGGUAAAUUUCAUCUAAAGCUAAAUAUGGGCCAGAGACCGAUAGCGCACAAGUAGAGUGAUCGAAAGAUGAAAAGCACUUUGGAAAGAGAGUUAAACAGUACGUGAAAUUGUUGAAAGGGAAGCGCUUGCAACCAGACUUGGGCGUCGCUGAUCAUCCAAAGUUUUCUUUGGUGCACU
rnacentral:rRNA from 1 species